rnacentral:rRNA from 1 species
GACGAACGCUGGCGGCGUGCUUAACACAUGCAAGUCGUACGGUAAGGCCCUUUCGGGGGUACACGAGUGGCGAACGGGUGAGUAACACGUGAGUAACCUGCCCACAACUUUGGGAUAACGCUAGGAAACUGGUGCUAAUACUGGAUAUGUGCCCCUGCUGCAUGGUGGGGGUUGGAAAGCUCCGGCGGUUGUGGAUGGACUCGCGGUCUAUCAGCUUGUUGGUGGGGUAGUGGCCUACCAAGGCGGCGACGGGUAGCCGGCCUGAGAGGGUGACCGGCCACAUUGGGACUGAGAUACGGCCCAGACUCCUACGGGAGGCAGCAGUGGGGAAUAUUGCACAAUGGGCGCAAGCCUGAUGCAGCAACGCCGCGUGCGGGAUGACGGCCUUCGGGUUGUAAACCGCUUUCAGCAGGGACGAAGCUUUUUGUGACGGUACCUGCAGAAGAAGCACCGGCUAACUACGUG